rnacentral:rRNA from 1 species
AUCGAACGCUGGCGGCAUGCUUUACACAUGCAAGUCGAACGGCAGCACGGACUUCAGUCUGGUGGCGAGUGGCGAACGGGUAAGUAAUACAUCGGAACGUACCCAGUAAUGGGGGAUAACUAUCCGAAAGGAUAGCUAAUACCGCAUACGCCCUACGGGGGAAAGAGGGGGAUCGCAAGACCUCUUGUUAUUGGAGCGGCCGAUGGCUGAUUAGCUAGUUGGUGGGGUAAAGGCCUACCAAGGCAACGAUCAGUAGCGGGUCUUAGAGGACGAUCCGCCACACUGGAACUGAGACACGGUCCAGACUCCUACGGGAGGCAGCAGUGGGGAAUCUUGGACAAUGGGCGCAAGCCUGAUCCAGCAAUGCCGCGUGCGUGAAGAAGGCCUUCGGGUUGUAAAGCGCUUUUGUCAGGGAGCAAAUCCUUGUGGCUAAUACCCACCGGGGAUGAGAGUACCUGAAGAAUAAGGACCGGCUAACUACGUGCCAGCCGCCGCCGUAAAAC